UUGUUUUUUUUUUUUUUUCACACAAGAAAGACAAAUGGCCAACAGGCACAUGAAGAAAUGCUUGAAAUAAUUAAUCAUCAAAAUGAUGAUUAAUCACUUUGCAAAUCAAAACCACACUGAGAUACCACUUCACACUUGUCAGACUGGCUAGCAACAAGAAGAUGACAAAUAAAUGUGGGCAUGGAUGUGGAGAUAAGGGAACCCUUAAAAACUUUUAGUAGGGUGUAAAUUGAUACCGCAGCCAUGAAAAACAGUAGCGAUUCCUCAAAAAAACUGAAAUCUAGGGAUGAUAAAUGAUUUAUUCAAAGACCCAAUUUUCACUGGAAGAGCUAUUAUCAGAACUUAGUUUCCUGUUCACUCUAUAGUAGGCUUAUCUCCAGAUGAUGUUAGAUAAUUUGCUAAAUGAAUAAUGACCCCAUACAUUAUCUCACUUUGAAUCUCAACUCAUAAUUAGCUUUUUUUUUUUUAUGGGCAUGCCAUCUUCUUUUGGUCUGAAUAGGUACUAAACUAUCCCUGGGAUACUUAUUUCUCAGAAGAGAAACACCCAGCUUUAGAAUUUUGCCUCUCUUGCUCAAGCAGUUUGAGCUAAUUAUGGAAAAGCCUUAUUUGGUAUAGUGGAUUCUGUGCCUGGCCCAGAUGUCCCCUUCAGAAGGAGGCAUUCUUUUCCCUAGUUCUGGGGCUGUUAACAGCUACUGUUCUUUCUAGGAGUUGUCCCAUUGAAGGAAACUGCCUUACUAAGGUUUUUUCUUUUCCCUGGCGUUGCCCCACCUUCAAUGACUAUUGAUACUAAAGAAUAAUAGCCCAGUCCUUAGUUCAGAACAAGUCUGACAGCCACUUUAGUUCCAGGCCUCCAGUGUAGCUGCACUGCAGAAUUCAGCAACUCCCUCUGCCCAAUCUUGCUAUUCUCACUCUCUCACAGAGGUUAUUCCUGACUGUACUCUCUAAUUUAAACCUCCUGCCUCAACAUCUGUCUCGACAUCUGUUUCUCUGGAAAUCUUACUGAAAACAGUAUGCUUU
rnacentral:lncRNA from 1 species